rnacentral:rRNA from 1 species
CCACACUGGAACUGAGACACGGUCCAGACUCUACGGGAGGCAGCAGUGGGGAAUAUUGCACAAUGGGCGCAAGCCUGAUGCAGCCAUGCCGCGUGUAUGAAGAAGGCUUUCGGGUUGUAAAGUACUUUCAGUCGUGAGGAAGGCGGCGUCGUUAAUAGCGGCGUUGUUUGACGUUAGCGACAGAAGAAGCACCGGCUAACUCCGUGCCAGCAGCCGCGGUAAUACGGAGGGUGCGAGCGUUAAUCGGAAUUACUGGGCGUAAAGCGCAUGCAGGUGGUUUGUUAAGUCAGAUGUGAAAGCCCGGGGCUCAACCUCGGAAUAGCAUUUGAAACUGGCAGACUAGAGUACUGUAGAGGGGGGUAGAAUUUCAGGUGUAGCGGUGAAAUGCGUAGAGAUCUGAAGGAAUACCGGUGGCGAAGGCGGCCCCCUGGACAGAUACUGACACUCAGAUGCGAAAGCGUGGGGAGCAAACAGGAUUAGAUACCCUGGUAGUCCACGCCGUAAACGAUGUCUACUUGGAGGUUGUGGCCUUGAGCCGUGGCUUUCGGAGCUAACGCGUUAAGUAGACCGCCUGGGGAGUACGGUCGCAAGAUUAAAACUCAAAUGAAUUGACGGGGGCCCGCACAAGCGGUGGAGCAUGUGGUUUAAUUCGAUGCAACGCGAAGAACCUUACCUACUCUUGACAUCCAGAGAACUUUCCAGAGAUGGAUUGGUGCCUUCGGGAACUCUGAGACAGUGCUGCAUGGCUGUCGUCAGCUCGU